rnacentral:rRNA from 1 species
AGAGUUUGAUCCUGGCUCAGAUUGAACGCUGGCGGAAUGCUUUACACAUGCAAGUCGAGCGGCAGCGCGGGGGCAACCCUGGCGGCGAGCGGCGAACGGGUGAGUAAUGUAUCGGAACGUACCCAGUCGUGGGGGAUAACUAUCCGAAAGGAUAGCUAAUACCGCAUACGUCCUGAGGGAGAAAGCGGGGGACCGUAAGGCCUCGCGCGAUUGGAGCGGCCGAUAUCGGAUUAGCUAGUUGGUGGGGUAAAGGCUCACCAAGGCGACGAUCCGUAGCUGGUCUGAGAGGACGACCAGCCACACUGGAACUGAGACACGGUCCAGACUCCUACGGGAGGCAGCAGUGGGGAAUUUUGGACAAUGGGGGCAACCCUGAUCCAGCCAUUCCGCGUGAGUGAAGAAGGCCUUCGGGUUGUAAAGCUCUUUCAGCAGGAACGAAACGGUGGUCCCUAA